UCUUUCUUUGCUGGCGACCGGCGCACGGGUGAGUAACACGUAUCCAACCUGCCCUUUACUCGGGGAUAGCCUUUCGAAAGAAAGAUUAAUACCCGAUAGUAUAAUGAUUCCGCAUGGUUUCAUUAUUAAAGGAUUCCGGUAAAGAUGGGGAUGCGUUCCAUUAGGUUGUUGGUGAGGUAACGGCUCACCAAGCCUUCGAUGGAUAGGGGUUCUGAGAGGAAGGUCCCCCACAUUGGAACUGAGACACGGUCCAA
rnacentral:rRNA from 1 species